rnacentral:rRNA from 1 species
UACGUAGGGUGCGAGCGUUAAUCGGAAUUACUGGGCGUAAAGCGUGCGCAGGCGGUUCGUUGUGUCGGCGGUGAAAGCCCCGGGCUUAACCUGGGAAUGGCCGUUGAAACUGGCGAACUGGAGUGUGGCAGAGGGGGGUGGAAUUCCGCGUGUAGCAGUGAAAUGCGUAGAGAUGCGGAGGAACACCGAUGGCGAAGGCAGCCCCCUGGGCUAACACUGACGCUCAGGCACGAAAGCGUGAGGAGCAAACAGG